CGUUUCCGUUGUGCGACAUACAUGAUAAGUCUGCCUACGAAAGGGUUUGAUGAAUGAGUUUAUUAUUUAAAUACGUAUGCCUUAUGUAUCCUUGAUAAAUAGCUAGAUAAUAGUAAUAAUUUAACAAAAUGAAUAAUCCAUUGUUGAAAAAUAUGUCGACCCUAGCAAAAAUUUUUUUUAUCAGAAUCCUAACAAGGUCCUG